CCCUUAGAUGUUCUGGGCUGCACGCGCGCUACACUGAUGCGAUCAACAAGUUUUUCCUAUGUCGAUAGACAUGGGUAAUCUUUUGAACUCGCAUCGUGAUGGGGAUAGAUUAUUGUAAUUAUUAAUCUUCAACGAGGAAUUCCUAGUAGGUGCAAAUCAUCAGUUUGCAUCGAUUACGUCCCUGCCCUUUGUACACACCGCCCGUCGCUGCUACCGAUUGGUUGAUCUGGUGAAUUAUUCGGACUGCCGGCUGAAGGGGUUUCCUCAUCUGCCAGCGGAAAGUCUUGUUAACCCUAUCAACUAGAGGAAGCAGAAGUCGUAACA
rnacentral:rRNA from 1 species